rnacentral:tRNA from 1 species
GGAGGGGUACCGAAGCGGUCAAACGGGGCAGACUGUAAAUCUGUUGGCUCAGCCUUCGGAGGUUCGAAUCCUCCCCCCUCCACCA